GGCGAACGGGUGAGUAACACGUGGGCAAUCUGCCCUUCACUCUGGGACAAGCCCUGGAAACGGGGUCUAAUACCGGAUNACACUCCUGCCCGCAUGNGUGGGGGUUAAAAGCUCCGGCGGUGAAGGAUGAGCCCGCGGCCUAUCAGCUUGUUGGUGAGGUAGUGGCUCACCAAGGCGACGACGGGUAGCCGGCCUGAGAGGGCGACCGGCCACACUGGGACUGAGACACGGCCCAGACUCCUACGGGAGGCAGCAGUGGGGAAUAUUGCACAAUGGGCGAAAGCCUGAUGCAGCGACGCCGCGUGAGGGAUGACGGCCUUCGGGUUGUAAACCUCUUUCAGCAGGGAAGAAGCGAAAGUGACGGUACCUGCAGAAGAAGCGCCGGCUAACUACGUGCCAGCAGCCGCGGUAAUACGUAGGGCGCAAGCGUUGUCCGGAAUUAUUGGGCGUAAAGAGCUCGUAGGCGGCUUGUCACGUCGGGUGUGAAAGCCCGGGGCUUAACCCCGGGUCUGCAUUCGAUACGGGCUAGCUAGAGUGUGGUAGGGGAGAUCGGAAUUCCU
rnacentral:rRNA from 1 species